GGAUGUGAGGGUGAUCAGGCUGUGACAUCUGUCACCCCAUUGAUUGCCAGGGUGAUUUGGCUCAUCUGGCUGGCCAAGUGGGUUUCCCCUUCCUCCAUCACUGCUCCACAUGCAUCCCUUCUGAAGCUGCAUGUUGGUUUGAAGAGGACAACCAUCCCCAAUAGAGGAGGACCGUAUUUUGGUCAAGCGUAUACAAGUAGCUCCAAAUAAGUUUUAUGGAGAAGCAAGAAACCCAAACAGCCAAUAUAGUGUU
rnacentral:snRNA from 1 species